rnacentral:rRNA from 1 species
UACAGAGGGGGCAAGCGUUGCUCGGAAUCACUGGGCGUAAAGGGUGCGUAGGCGGGUCUUUAAGUCAGGGGUGAAAUCCUGGAGCUCAACUCCAGAACUGCCUUUGAUACUGAGGAUCUUGAGUUCGGGAGAGGUGAGUGGAACUGCGAGUGUAGAGGUGAAAUUCGUAGAUAUUCGCAAGAACACCAGUGGCGAAGGCGGCUCACUGGCCCGAUACUGACGCUGAGGCACGAAAGCGUGGGGAGCAAACAGG